rnacentral:lncRNA from 1 species
ACACCUGCUUGGAUGACCUGCCUGUGGAAAGGAGCUACCCACUACAGGUCUCCUCUCCACUGAGAGCUGGACACUCACUGGGAUGACCAGCCUGCAGAAAGGAGCUGCCUACUUCAGAUGCUGGUGCCUGUGGUGGAAGCCGCUUGGUACAUCUAGUCCAGCUGCAGCCUUGCACAGAGCCAACACCUGGAGCUGACCACCCCACCACAGCUGGCCUGGCUAUGUGUGGUGGCCGGACUCUGCGCUCACUUGCUCAUACACCCCUCACCGCUCCAUGCCUGACUUGACUUUGGCAGGAUCCAGGCCAGUAGCAGGAACCAAGCACAGCCUGUCAGACUGAGUGGGUGGAACAAACCCAGCAGGCACAAGCAAAACCCAAGCAGAGGUGCCACCAACCACAGAGGUUUCCAGCUGGUGAAGCAACACCCUAAAGAUCCUGUAACACCAGGAAGGGGCUUGGAGGGAGACCCAGGACACACUGCUCUGAAGGUGCUGCUCUGUGGAGAGUGAGUGGGGCCCAGCUGAAGCCAGCUGUGUAUGUGUUGAUGCAUUCAUGUGAGCAUGUAUGCACAGCCCUGUUUCUGCAUCCAUGAAUUGGGGAUAAUGCAUCUACCUCUUUUGUGUUAGAAUAAUCACUGCCAAGCUGUGAGGAGACCAGUAGCUGCCAGGAACUGGGGGAAUGGGGAAAUGAGGGUUCCUUUUAGGAUGAUGAAAUUGUUCUGGAACUAGACAGUGGUGAUGGUUGCCCAUUGUGAAAUACUGAAUGUUACUGAUGGCAC